CUUGAACAUCCUACAUUUGAAUAUUCCCCGGCACGUAAAUAUUGACGGUACUCACGGUGUAAGACAACAGCCUCUUCUGCCUCCCGUCAUGCAACGAUCUACUAUCUUACACGUAACUUCGAAGGCGGCUCUCUACAGCCAAGUCUGCGAAACCGCACUCUCGUAAUCUUAAUCGCGGAACUGUUUUCUAAGGAACACACCGACUAUUUCAGCACUGGGAUCGACGGCGUUAGGGAAUUCGUCGAUGCCACUAAUAAUGCCGACAUCACCGCCGACGCAAGGAAAUAAAACGUUUCUUGGCAUCGAAAAAAGAGAGAAAAUCGGAGAGAGAAAAAGGGAGAGAGGAAAAAAGAUCCGAACGGGUCUACGGACGACGUUUCCGGUCAAAAUGCGGAGAGAAAUGGCCCAAAAGGUCGAUGCGGUGUAUCAAUAGGACGGCGCGACCAGCCCCGGAUAUGACGGCCAAACUCGAGAGCAGAAGAAGACGAAGUUGCAGACCGAAGUCUGCUUCUUUUUCUACGUCGCGCGACUCGCAAUGGGGACGACACUGAGAUCGCGCCCCCGGCGAAGAAUCUCUUUAAAACGCGCACAGUCGCGCAUCGCGAUUCAUUUUUGGUCCGAAUAUACGAAGGUUUCUAUAUCGCAGAUCGUUGGUCAUUUGUCGCGCGUGUACAGUCGACCAAUUAAAAACUGCAACGCUUUUCCUCGAUGAGUUUUGUAACGGAAGAGAAUAUCUCCAAUAGAAGCAUCUAUUCUUUUCGAUCGUUUUCAGGAGAUUCGUACAUUUUCCUAUUGGAUACGGAACGCUUUGCAAAAUUCACGUAAAAUUCAGGAAAAGUGUUGCGAUCUUUGUUCAGCCGCCUGUGGCUAAUCGAUCGGACGAAAGUCAAAACUAUACAUACACAUGUACGCGUAUACAUGCAUAUGUAUGUACAUACGAGAAAAAACUAUAAUAGUGUGUAUUACUAAUAGUGUGUAAAACUAUAAUAGUGUGUGUCUUGAAGAGAAUCGACAACUCCACAUUCUCACUAGUUUCAAUUGAUCGCGCGAGACAUCUCAACUAAAGAGCUAUCUCGGUACUCAAACAUCUCGCGCUCCUACUUCAGCCUUUUGUUUGUUUUUCGUUAAAUUUGUUUAUACUGGUCCUUGCUGUGCGUAUUGCGCAUAAUUUUGAUUUCGCGAACGCGCUGAUUAUCUACGACGUAACGAAACAUCAACGGGAAAUUGUCGCGCGCCUCUCGAUCGCUCGACAAAUAAAUAAUUCUUCAGUUAGGUCAUCCGUUAAUGCGCUGAUAUUUGCCUUGAGAAAUAAUACCGAGUUCGUUUCUCGAUCGCGCUGUUUGUAGAUAACUAAUACUGAUCGGAAUCCCGAUAAGAUCCCAAUAUAAACAUCUUACAAUUAUCUGCAUCUACGACAUCUCACAAAAUUGGCCCGUUUAACAGUGUACACACUUGACGUAUUACACAAUUAUUAUAUAUACACGCUACAUAUACCUUGCGGAGAGGACGUUCUAUAUUCAUUACUCUCAUCCGUUUCUCUUCUAAAUAAAAAUUCACAUCGUAUAAAAUUCAAUGUAUAAAUAUAUAAUAAAAUUCCGCUGUAUAACAUAUUGCGCGUCUCGUCAAGUAAACGGCGUGCGAGCCUAAACUAAGUGGCGUCAGCUACUAAGUAUCAAAACCUAACGGGAUAAAAAAACUAACAUCAAUAAUAAAUAUACUAAGCAAGCGGCGGCCUCACGAUAAAAGCGAUAUAAAUACGGAUUGCCGAGGUAACAAUCGGCUUCCUGACAAUCCUCACGUUCGUUCGUUGCUUGUCUUAAAUUUAGCGGAAACUCGACGUGUCUUUGAUUGUCUCGGACACGUCCGAGAUUGAUACUCGCAGGUAUCGACAGGGGCUGGCCACGUAUAACAACGACAACAAUCGGUCCUAUGAGUGAGGCGUGCUAAAAUCGACACAGAUUUCGUAGAUCUGAAUUUUCAAUAUCGUAAACACAAAAAUGCAAUAUCUCCGGAACGCGGAAUAACAUGUCUUUUCACCUUCUAUUUUUAUUAGUUUCUUUUGUUUUCUCACUUUCGUGUGCUCGAUUUUUCCGCACUUCCAAUUUAAAAUGUCUCGCACGUUCGUGCUUUCCGCGAUUACGACGUCACGUUAUAUCGACCGGACGAAA